UACGUAGGGGGCAAGCGUUGUCCGGAAUCAUUGGGCGUAAAGCGCGCGUAGGCGGUCCGGUAAGUCCGCUCUGAAAGCCCGGGGCUCAACCCCGGAAUUGCCUUUGAGACUGCAUCGCUAGAAUUGUGGAGAGGUAAGUGGAAUUCCGAGUGUAGAGGUGAAAUUCGUAGAUAUUCGGAAGAACACCAGUGGCGAAGGCGACUUACUGGACACAUAUUGACGCUGAGGUGCGAAAGCGUGGGGAGCAAACAGG
rnacentral:rRNA from 1 species